rnacentral:rRNA from 1 species
UAACAAGGAUUCCCCUAGUAACUGCGAGUGAACCGGGAAAAGCUCAAAUUUUGAAUCUGGCGGUCUUUAUGGCCGUCCGAGUUGUAAUCUAGAGAAGCGUCUUCCGCGCUGGACCGUGUAUAAGUUUCCUGGAAUGGAACGUCGUAGAGGGUGAGAAUCCCGUCUUUGACACGGACUACCAGGGCUAUGUGAUGCGCUCUCGACGAGUCGAGUUGUUUGGGAAUGCAGCUCAAAUAGGGUGGUAAAUUCCAUCUAAAGCUAAAUAUAGGCGAGAGACCGAUAGCGAACAAGUACCGUGAGGGAAAGAUGAAAAGAACUUUGGAAAGAGAGUUAAACAGUACGUGAAAUUGCUGAAAGGGAAACGCUUGAUGUCAGUCGCGUUUGUCGGGGAUCAGCCUUGCUCUUUUGCUCGGCGUACUUCCUGGCGAACGGGUCAGCAUCAGUUUUGUUCGUCGGAAAAUGGCUCGAGAAAUGUGGCACUCUUCGGGGUGUGUUAUAGACUCGGGUCGAAUACGACGUUCGGGACUGAGGAACUCAGCACGACCUUCGGGUUCGGGGCUUAGGCCCACGUUAACGUGCUUAGGAUGCUGGCAUAAUGGCCUUAAGCGACCCGUCUUGAAACACGGACCAAGGAGUCUAACUCGCAUGCGAGUGUUUGGGCGAUUAAAACCCGAGCGCGUAAUGAAAGUGAAAGUCGAGACCCCUGUCGUGGGGGGCAUCGACGCCCGGACCAGAGCUUCUGCGACGGAUCUGCGGUAGAGCAUGCGUGUUGGGACCCGAAAGAUGGUGAACUAUGCCUGAAUAGGGUGAAGCCAGAGGAAACUCUGGUGGAGGCUCGUAGCGAUUCUGACGUGCAAAUCGAUCGUCG